rnacentral:rRNA from 1 species
AGUGAACGCUGGCGGUAGGCCUAACACAUGCAAGUCGAACGGCAGCACAGUAAGAGCUUGCUCUUACGGGUGGCGAGUGGCGGACGGGUGAGGAAUACAUCGGAAUCUACUUUUUCGUGGGGGAUAACGUAGGGAAACUUACGCUAAUACCGCAUACGACCUACGGGUGAAAGCAGGGGAUCUUCGGACCUUGCGCGAUUGAAUGAGCCGAUGUCGGAUUAGCUAGUUGGCGGGGUAAAGGCCCACCAAGGCGACGAUCCGUAGCUGGUCUGAGAGGAUGAUCAGCCACACUGGAACUGAGACACGGUCCAGACUCCUACGGGAGGCAGCAGUGGGGAAUAUUGGACAAUGGGCGCAAGCCUGAUCCAGCCAUACUGCGUGGGUGAAGAAGGCCUUCGGGUUGUAAAGCCCUUUUGUUGGGAAAGAAAAGCAGCAGGUUAAUACCCCGCUGUUCUGACAGUACCCAAAGAAUAAGCACCGGCUAACUUCGUG